CUCUCUCUCUCUCUCUCUCUCUCUCUCUCUCUCUCUCUCUAAAAAAAAAGCCAAAUACUGUUUAUGACUAUUAUAGCUUCUCUUUCCAUCUCAGACAUGCCCUAAAACCAUUUUUUUUCCUUUUGCAUCUUCUUUUAGGUUCUUUAUAGCAUGAUAGAGUUUCAGGAUAUUUACUCUGCCAAUAUUGUCGGAAAAGGAAAUCUCUGCCUCCUCUUCACCUUCCUGUCACCAAGCUUUGCCCUGAGCGGUUUACGGAAUCGACUGUUGUUAAGGUCACCGCUGACAUCAUCACUUCUAAGUAAAACUGUCUUCAAAUUCACUCUACAGCCCCAACACCAGGCAUGAGAAAAACCCUUUUGAGUUGCUGCUCAGGGUUGUCCUACAGUGAUUUUGAAUCAUACAAUCAACUGUUGUGAACUUCUGUCAUCCUGCUAUGUUGUAGAAGACCUGAAGUUACUCCCAUUAUCUGUCUGUUACUACCCAAUAGCCAGUCCAACUCUGCGGCCAUUUCCAGCAUCUGAGGGAUCAGCCUUGGAGGUUUGCACACAUGGAUGCUCUCUAUAUUCUAUAAUGUCCUCCAGACACACCGUUUUGAGGCAAAUACUAAUAUUCCAUUCUUUUAUGAGUAAAUUAUAUCCAACAUAUGGUUAAUCCAUUUUCUUUAUAGUAACUAUUAAAAUUUUUUAGGAAAUCUUGUUCCUAAAAAUUUUCAGGAAAAAGAUUGACCAAAACUAUCAUCUUCAUUCUCCAUUCCAAAAAAAAAAAAAAAAAAAA